UAAGGAGGUCACGUGAUGUGAUAAGCACUGGGUGUUUUAUGCAACAGAUGAAUUACUGAACUCUAUAUCUGAAACUAUUGAUAUACUAUAAGUUGGCUAAUUGAAUUUAAAUAAUAAUAAUAAAAAAGAAGUGAGAUCAUGACAGUUGCUUAGAAGUUAGCCAGUGAAAAAUGACAAAAGAAAACCUUGGGAAGCUAUUCUGCUAGUAUUUGAACGGUCUUGUUACACGAACUGUUUGCUUCAGAGAGUCAACAUUCAUUUUUAUGCCACCAUAAAACCACCUGAGUGACCUUGGAAAUAUCAUCUCUACCUGCUGCAGCCUUGGUCAGGGGAUGGUUUCUACUUUCCCAAGACAGAUGAGCGCCCUGGGAUAGGCCACUCCCUGCAAGCCUCGUGGACAGACCCCAACCCAACAACACCCCGUGUUGUUUCGGAAAUUUUCCUGAACUUCUUUGAAACCUGAUCUCACCCAAAGCCUAUAUGCCACACUUCAAGCCUGUUCCCCCCAGUUCUAUUUCUGGAUGAGGCCACGCUGUGGACAACAGUCUUUCUGGAGCUGGAGUCCUCCUGAUUCUAUUGUGUUUCUGAACCGCUGCAGAGAGAACGCAUUUCUUAUCAUUCCACCUUGUUUAUUAAAAACAGCCCUUUUAUCUUCCUUAUAAAACCUUGCCUAGCUCUAAACUAGAAUUUUAUUUAAUAUGGCAGGAUAAAAAACAAGUAAUUCUCCCCCUCAGGAUGAACUAGAACAACACAGGAAAUAAAAGACUAGGCACGCAGUUAGAGGCUCACAGAGCCUUUUCCUGCUGGGAAUAUUGAUCUAAGACAGACAUGCCUUCUGACUCUAACCUGAUAUGCCUUCGAGAAGAUGACCUGAGAAAAGACGUAAAGAAACCAAAGUCCAGUAAAUUAAAGCCAAGAGGCUUGCGUAGCCAUAAAAACACCGGACUUGGGGUGCCUGGGUGUCUCUGGGUUAAAGCCUCUGCCUUUGGCUCAGGUCAUAAUCCCAGAGUCCUGGGAUCGAGCCCCGCAUCAGGCUUUCUGCUCUGUGGGGAGCCUACUUCCUCCUCUCUCUCUGCCUACUUGUGAUCUCUGUCUGUCAAAUAAAUAAAUAAUCUUAAAAAAAAAAAAAAAACACCCGACUUGAUCCUAUGGCGAUCAAAAGAUCUUUUUUAUGACAUCUGACACCAUCUGUAUGUCAGGGCUCAGGGGAUACAAUCAGGAGGUUUUCCGGCAAGCUACAGGACAGUCUAACGACCUGGUCUUAGAAAUUGUAGUUAAAUCCAGAGGCACAUCCUUCAAAGGGCUCAAAGAAAACUAGCAGCUCAUCUGCGCUGAAAAUCAAAAUCUGGAGUUAACACAGGACUUAAGACUAGUGCUUUCUUCCAGACAGUGUAAUAGAUCUUUCCUAAGAAAUGAACGCUACCAUUGCAGAGCAGGACAGCAAAAUGCCUAUGUUGCCAGGGCUCCCAACUAGGGUUUUGGGGGGUGGCAGACGGGCUUGGUGGCAGACUUCAGACAUUCUGUGUAUCUUCUGAUUGUUGCCACUGCUAGUUUCUUGUCACCCACGGUGCUAGCUGUCCUGACUCUGUUCCUUCCUCACUCCACACUGCCCUUCUUUCCCGAAGUUAACAGGAGGAUAGCAGUACUGUUAGGUUGCUUUCAGCUAAAAGUAACAGAAAGUCCUUUCUUUCUUAGCUUCCAGAAUGGGGCUUCAUUAUGGGAAGUCCAGAGGGCUUCAGGAUUUACUCUGUCCAGUGGCUCUAGUUCUGCUGCCCUGUGGGUUCUUUUUGUGAGUUUCAUCUUCAGGUUGGUGGCAAGAAGAUGCUGCAUCUGGUCCCAGGCCUCAGAGCUGAGCUGGACAAUAUCCAAAGAAGAAAGAGAAGUCUUUUCUAGAAGCUUUUUGAGAAGACUGAAAAUUUCCCAGGUAACCCAGCCUCUGAGGAUUGGCAGCAAAAAUGAUCCAAGAAAGCACACCUUAAAGUAAGAUUUUUAGACAUUGAUAUCCCACACGUGGGACUAUAUGACAAGGAAGACACCAGUGCUGUUGUUUAAAAAACUGCAGUAGGAUACACUGAAACAAUGUUUUCUCUGCUACAUAAAGGAAUCUGGAUUUUUGGCUUGAGCAGUUAAGUGGAUGGUGGUGCUGUUUACUAAGAAUUCAAGCUCAUCUCAAAGAUUUAAGAAGUAGAUCGAAUGUUGUAUUGUUCCUGUAUCUUCUACUUAGACUUCAUGAGCCAGAAUAAUUCAAUCUAAGGAAAGAACUCCAAUAGCAGGUCUUUAAGGCACAGAUACAGACUCUAGAGAGAGCCUUGGGGUAAGAAGUUCUUACGGCAGAACAGUUCAAAUCAUUGGACCUUGAAGGCAAACAGAGUCCUUGAUGAGAGACAACAAGCCAUUCUGAGUGGCAGAAAUUCACACGGCGCCUCUCACCCAAAGAUGAAUCUUUAACCAGCUGUGGGAAGCUUGCUUAUCACAAAGCUAACAAACCUUAACAGGGAUGGGCAAACAGGUUGACAGCAGUGGAAACCAGUACCCAAGGCACCGUUCGAAGAAGAAAGCCUGAACUGUGAUGCCUGGACAUUAACACCUAAUAGAAUAUUCAUUAAAAAAAAAAAGGAAAGACAGCAGAGGUUUGGCAAUGUUGAAUUUUUUAUUAAAGAAAUUAAUAAAACCUAUCAUCUGUUCUUUGCCAUUGUUUCAAGAAAUGAGGUAUGCUUUCAUUCCAAACAAGUAAUAAGGGCACAAUUGGAGAAUGAAGGUAAAGAGCAAGAGGACAGAGGACUUAGA